rnacentral:rRNA from 1 species
CCUACGGGUGGCAGCAGUGGGGAAUAUUGGACAAUGGGCGAAAGCCUGAUCCAGCCAUGCCGCGUGUGUGAAGAAGGCCUUCGGGUUGUAAAGCACUUUCAGUGGGGAAGAAAGCCUUGGGGCUAAUACCCUCGAGGAAGGACAUCACCCACAGAAGAAGCACCGGCUAACUCCGUGCCAGCAGCCGCGGUAAUACGGAGGGUGCGAGCGUUAAUCGGAAUUACUGGGCGUAAAGCGCGCGUAGGCGGUCUGAUAAGCCGGUUGUGAAAGCCCCGGGCCAACCUGGGAACGGCAUCCGGAACUGUCAGGCUAGAGUGCAGGAGAGGAAGGUAGAAUUCCCGGUGUAGCGGUGAAAUGCGUAGAGAUCGGGAGGAAUACCAGUGGCGAAGGCGGCCUUCUGGACGGACACUGACGCUGAGGUGCGAAAGCGUGGGUAGCAAACCGGAUUAGAUACCCUUGUAUUC